GGACAGCGGGCAGGCAUCGUCCUGCGGACAGAGCUCGUGGGCUGCCGCCCGACAGUGCGGCGACUCAGCUGGGCGGCCCAGUCCACAGACCCAUGAAAAUGCAAUGAGGCUUUCAGCUGGAGAGGAAGCGUGCCUGGGUCAGACAGCAAGGAGCAGCUCGGAACGCACUGCAAGCCGCCUGCAAAGCGCCUCUUGUGUUACCGUGGAGGCUUCCUCCAGCAUCCGAUGGUAUCGCCAGAAUAAGUCUUUAUGCAAAUAGACGGUUCCCUGAGGCUCUGGCCGGGGCCUCCAGGAAAGAGGACGUGUGUGGGGAGGGGGUGAGCUCAUCCACAUUCACACCACGUUUCCCUUACAUGUAUGUACAGCCCAUCCCAUUCAAACUCCAUCACAUGUGCACAGCUUAUUACAUACGCAAAUCCCAUCACAUGUGCACAGCUCAUCACAUGUGCAAAUCCCAUCACAUGUGCACAGCUUAUUACAUAUGCAAAUCCCAUCACAUAUGCACAGCUCAUCACAUGUGCAAAUCCCAUCACAUGUGCACAGCUUAUUACAUAUGCAAAUCCUAUCACAUAUGCACAGCUCAUCACAUGUGCAAAUCCCAUCACGUGUGCACAGCUUAUUACAUAUGCAAAUCCUAUCACAUGUGCACAGCUCAUCACAUGUGCAAAUCCCAUCACAUGUGCACAGCUCAUCACAUAUGCACAGCUCAUAACAGGUGCUUAGCGUGUGUGCACCACUCAGCCCCCUCUGCUGUGCAGCAGGAAGGACUACGGCAGGUGCUUGCCUCAGUGUUACCUUGGAGGACAUGUUUGGGGGGCUCCUCUGUGUGUCCCCCCACGAGAGCCCGGCAUCUGACCUGCACUCGGAGCAGGAGCAGUGUGGGAGAGGCGCAGUCACCACUCACUAAGUGCGUGUGACACUGAACUCACUUCAGACACAGAGUUAGAUCAGCUGGGCCGGGACUGGGCUACGUUUUUGAGCCUCACCGUGGCUGUGGGGCAGAGGGGCAGCGUCCGUGCAGAGACUGCACAUUUUUAUCUCCAAGAUUUGUAAUGAAUUCUUGCACAUCCACUUCUUCUUGUUUUAUUUCUGCCUGUUCUGUUUCAGAAUUCCUUGCUGUGCCUUGAUUUACUUAUUUGACACUUACUCACUCCCAGUGUCCCGCUGGAGCUGGGACCUGCCCUUGUCAGCAGCUCCCCGUGGGAGAGCCGAGGGCGGCAGGCGGGGCCUCUGUGUGGCCACCACGGCGACUGCGCCACCGGGGCCUCCCUCCCAUCCGCGUGCUCACCGCCCUGCAUUCCCCCAAAGCUCCGUCACCGCGUGACGCUCCGUCCAUUCCCGUGCCCUGCAGGAAGGAAUAAUGCUGCCAGUUAGACCGUCGUGUCAUUUGCGGAAAGACGUGUCUGGAUUUCAGAGACGUUGAAACAUGAAAAACUACAGCCGAGAUCACAGGAUUUUGAGGUGCCUGUCGGACGGCUCUCUGAAAUCCGUGUCCCGAUGGGUGGUGCGUGUGCUGUCUUUGCCUUUCUGUAAAGAGAACCUCAUCACGUCACCGUUUAUCACCUGUGCACUCCUGCCAGCCCAGGUCCCUUCACGCCUUUUUGUGCUCCGAGGGGCAGGGGCUGCCAUGCCGUUCCGUGGCACCGGCUGUGGGAGAUGGCGCGUCACCCCCGGAGGGUCACAUGGGGGUAAGGACGGGCUGGGUCCUCUUUUUCUUGUUGCAUUUCCUCUCCUCGUUUGGAAGGUAGACACUGCAUGUCUAUUGCUAGCAGGUGCCCUAGAUAUUUUAACACAUAUACUAUUCGUCUAACUCUGGAGUUGGUCAACGCUCCUCUCCUUCCUUUCAACAACCGUGGACCGUCCAGUGCGGAAAUUCUGAUCACCCUUCUCAACCUCACGCCUCUGGCCAGCAAUCCCCCCCCCACCCCACCCGCCACCCCCACGGAGUAGGUGCUGGUUUCAUGGUCCAUGUUUGCUUUGAUGGCCACGUGUUUCCCACCAUCUUUACUCAUCUUCUCUCACCACAGACCUGCCACCUGAGGUCCUUCCCGUCCGCCUAAAUUGGGUCUUAUAGAGUUUCCUUUGCUGAGGGUCUAUUGGCAUGUGGUAGGCUGUAAAAAUGGCCAUAAAUUCUCCCUGUAACAAAUCUAUUUCUCCACUGCAUAAUGCUGCUUGCUUGGUGGAGCUCUGUCUCCUGCUCUGCUUUGGACCCUGGGACCACCCUGCGGGGUGAGAGCCCCCAAAGAGGAGAGUUGGGGUGCCCCAGCCAGCAGCCUGCCAGCCGGCAGACGAGGGAGUGAGGCCAUGCUGGGUGGCCCCGUGCCGACCAACCACCAGCCGAGACUUCUAGAACUGGGAUAGAAUUCCAGGUUGAAAGUUAUUUGUCUCAGAACUUUGAAGACGUUCAACUGUCUUAACUUCUACUCUGCACCUGGGACGUCACCCGGUCAGUAUCUUUCUUUGCAGCCGUGUGUUUGUAGCAGAGGAGAUGAUGAAAGUGUCUGUCCCUUCCUGGCCACAGCUCAGGAGGCGGCUUUGAAGCCCGUGCUUUGAUAGCGAUUGUUUUGCGGGCAGAAUGAGCUCCCAGGGAAGAGGCCGCGUGCUGCCCUCACGUGGGCGCGUCUCUCCCGGAAGAGACAUCACGCAGCCGAUAAGGACGCCAGCUUUGCAGUCUCCGUGCAAGUCCUCGACUGCCACCUCCGGCAGAUGACCUGCGCUGGGCCCUCAUCCCCCACCUGUAAAAUUCUGCGAAGCCACUGAGUCUGCGUGUGUUUCCCGAGCAUGUCUGUGUGCCGGGCCCUGGCGUGGCGGCAGGAGGACACCCCACGCCCGCUCCCCAGACCCCGAAACACGCGGGUGACACCACAGAGGGAGCCGCAGUGGCUCAUCGGUGACCGUGAUGUGGGGGGUUCUCCUGGGGUCUCGGCGGACCUGAGGCUGUGGCCGGGGUCCGCACCCAGGAGGAAGAGCAGGAGGUUGUCAGCGAGAUGCCGCCGUGGGCGCUGCGCAUGGGGUCGGGGCGCGGCCCAGGGAUGCAGGUGUCUCUGGAAACUGGGAAGGGCGGGGAAAGGACACCCCCCGCCCCCAGCCUCAGAAAGGAACAGCUCUGCCCACACCUUGGCUUUUAUUUAACCCAGUGACUUCUGACUGCCGGGACUGAAAGCCAGUAAAUUUGAGCUAUUUAAAACCAUCGCGUUCGUGGUAAAUUGUCACAGCAGCUGCAAGAAGCUAGCACGGUCAUCAACGGUGAGGCACCGCACAGUGUGACCCGGCGGCAGGGUGCAGAGGGGGAGUGAGGACUCUGUUUUCUCUCUGCCUCCGGGCUGGCCGGUGGGGGCUGGGACCCGGUUCUUUGGGGCUCACUCUCACUGUGGAAGCUCCCGGCACGGCCCCCAGAAAGCUGGGAGGCUUAAGGGCAGCAGCGUGCCCACGUGGCGGGGAGGAAACUGAGCUCUGAGCCGUGCCCUGCGUAAGGGCCUCGACCAGGCUGACCGGCCAAGGGCCGCCCUCUGGCAGCCUCCGGGCUCCUGGCCCAGCCGCCAGCCACGCAGCCACUGCUAAGAGGACCAUGGAUGCCAGUCCGCACGCAGAGCGCAUUGACGGGCACCUGCAGGGAGCACUUCGGAUCCACUCACAUUACAGAAACAUCCUCGGCCCCUUUUCAUCAUGCGAGACUGCGCUCCGGGGCUUUCUGGCUGCGAGAUCACAGCUCUUUUCGAGGAGAAUUAUCAGGAGCUGUUUGCUUCAGCCACAUUCGACAGGGCAGCUGCCGCCCAGGGCCCUGCGGCUUCCAGGAUGUCGACUGAGGAUUUCAGUUUCCUUCUUACAUUGAGGGGCGGGAGCUGCGUGUCCCUCCCCGGGAGAGAGACAGUGGCCUAAGACGUCCCUGCAGGUUAGACAGGGCGGGCCACUGCCGAGGGACGCCGGGCAAGUCCUGCCUUGGGCAGCGAGGGCCGGCGCCGCCUGCUGGGCUCCUGCGGCCCGGCCUCCUCCUUCCUGGAUGGGCCCGCCGGGGGCCGCCCUGACUUGGGCCCCAGCCGGCUCCUCCCUGUGAAAUGCAAAGACAGCCCCACGCUUGCUCCUUUUAUUUUAUUGCCCCGUGCUUCCUCUUCAUCCCCGAGGUGUAGCAGUGGGCAGGCCAGAGGUGUAGCAGCGGGCAGGCCACCGUCUCGCUUCCCACCCUGCGGGCCGGUCCCUCUCAGCUCCCCCGAGCCUAGGCUGAGCCACAAGCAGCUUCGGGUCCCUCUGUGCUCUGCGGAGGGGCAGGUGCUGGGGAGCAGGUGAGGACAGAGCCACCCCGCUUGCCUGGCCUGCCUGGAGAACCACAUCUGCUCUGCGGGCUCGUGGAGCUCGCUGGGCGCACAGCCUGGGGACAUCAUGGAGCUGAGCGCCCACCCAGCCCAGCCAGUGGAUGGGGUCCCCGGGGCUCUGGGAGGGACCCUCUCCAAGGCUGGGUGGCGAGAACUGUAGGUUCUUCCCUGGGUUUUCCUGCGUGGCCUCCCCCAGGGUCGGCUUCUGCUUCCACAGCUCCUUCCUGCAACCUUGCUCUAAGACUAGCCUCCCUGCUCCGUUCCGCCGCCCCUGGUGCGGGGGUGGGGGUGGGGCUGCCCCACCCACCUCUAACCACUGCACCCUCCGCUCCUUGGCGGUGCAGACCAGCCAGACUGGCUUAGGUCAAAUUAAAACAGUGCACUGGCUGCUCAUUGAAUUAGAAAAUGCAUCAAUGGCUCUCUUAGGGUCAGGAAAAGGAGCCAUGCUCAUAAGAGUCCGUUAUAUAUAGCACUUGCACUGCGCUACCUAAUUUAAAAAACAUUUCAUAUAUUUGGUGCUGCCGUAAAAUAAAUUAGCAUGCAUACUUGUAAGAAGUUUUCACUGAUUCCAGAACAAUUUUGCAUUAAGUGAAAUACCACUCGAACAUCCCGAUGUGUGAUAAAGUUAAGGGGAACAUGAGAUUCAGAUUUUGUUGGAUUUUAUUCUAAAUUUAGAGCACUCAGUUUUAAACUUUGCAUCUGAAGCUGUGACAGAGCUGGCAGCGGCCCGUGUCGUCCGGGCCAUCCUCAGGCUGCAUCUUUGGCGAGAGGCGGGAGCAUUUCCCGAGACGAUGCCCCGCGGGUGGCACCCUGGGCCCCCUGCCUGCCCACUGCGCAGCUGCCCAGGCCUGCGUGGGCCCAGGAGUACCUUACUGCCAUCCGGGGGCGUGGGUGUUCGUGGGCAAUUUUUAAAAAAGCUCCAACUCAUAAAUGCUCCUACAAAUAUAAAGUAAAAUAAGCCAAAGGUUUUCUUUC